rnacentral:siRNA from 1 species
UCUUGAGGCCCAAACGCUGC